rnacentral:rRNA from 1 species
UACGUAGGGUGCAAGCGUUGUCCGGAAUUAUUGGGCGUAAAGAGCUCGUAGGCGGUCUGUCACGUCGGCUGUGAAAACCCGAGGCUCAACCUCGGGCCUGCAGUCGAUACGGGCAAACUAGAGUACUGCAGGGGAGACUGGAAUUCCUGGUGUAGCGGUGAAAUGCGCAGAUAUCAGGAGGAACACCGGUGGCGAAGGCGGUUCUCUGGGCAUUACCUG